rnacentral:rRNA from 1 species
AGAUUGAACGCUGGCGGCAGGCCUAACACAUGCAAGUCGAGCGGUAGAGAGGUGCUUGCACCUCUUGAGAGCGGCGGACGGGUGAGUAAUGCCUAGGAAUCUGCCUAGUGGUGGGGGAUAACGUUCGGAAACGGACGCUAAUACCGCAUACGUCCUACGGGAGAAAGCGGGGGACCUUCGGGCCUCGCGCCAUUAGAUGAGCCUAGGUCGAUUAGCUAGUUGGUGAGGUAAUGGCUCACCAAGG